GAUGUUAGUAAAACACUAAAUCGAGUAUAUAAUAACAAUCACAUUAAAAAACUUGAAAAACGACUUGAAGCAUUAAAAUUAGUAGAGGAAAAAACAAGUAUCACCAAUUCUAGAAUAACCGAAAUUGAAAGCGAAAUUAAGGAUAUUUAUACAAAUUUAACAGAAUCUGCGAAAAUUAGGGCAAAAAUUAAAUGGUCAGAAGAAGGUGAAAAAUCUACGAAAUAUUUUUUUAGUUUAGAAAAGAAAAAUGGUCAAAACAAGUUAUGGAAUCGUAUAAAAACAAAAACGGGUGAGUAUAAAUAUGAUAUUGAUUCGAUAUUAAAAGAACAAGUACAAUUUUAUUCCACACUUUUUACUGCUGAAGGGUGGGACAAACAUAGCGGUGAAAAGCUUUGCCAAUUUAUUGAAAAUAAGGUAAGUUCGGAC
rnacentral:lncRNA from 1 species